rnacentral:lncRNA from 1 species
UUAUCUUUAGCCCAAACCAAAAGUAAAUUCACCCAACCCAGCUUGGCCCAGUCCACACCUCAACCCGGUCUGGGAUCCUUUCUCCUCAAACGACGCCAUUUUGGCGUCACCCAAUCUCAGCCAUCGAUUUCCUUCAAAUUAACGAUCACCAAUGAUUGUUACAUUUUCAAAUAAAUGUUUGAAUAAUUAAACCCUAAAACAAAACACCCUUCGUCUUCCUUGUACACUCUCUGUAUUUCGGCAAAACUGCCGCCGCCGGCGAACACCAUCAUUGUCCUUCACUCUCAAAAUAACACUCGUUACUCCACUCUUCCUCCUCUAUUCGAAUCCACCAUGCAUGUCCCUCGAAUAUUUUUCCAAAUCCUCAAAUCUUGAUUUUAAAUUUUCCGGCCAAGUCAUUACCUCACCCAAACUCGCCCAAAUUAACACUAAUAGACCGCCUGAGCUUCCUCUACCAUACCCCCUAACCGCGUCCCUUGAAUCUUGUCGGAAUGGCUCGAAUCUUUAUUAAUGCUUCUCCGACCAAAACCCUAACUGCCCAAAAAAAUGUUCAAAUUGAUACCAUAUGAUCUUUGAGCCGUCCUUAUAGUGAAUUCACCACCAGUGUAGCGUAAUUUGUUACCAGAGGUGGCUGAUUUUAGUUUUUGAAAUUGAUUGGAUUCCUGAAGUCAAGUCAGUAAAUUCGCAAUUUUCUUUUCUUUUAUUUUUUCUUGGUGUUAAUUUUUUCUUUGCGUGACUGUUUAUUUUCUUAAAAUUGUUUAGUACUAACUGUUAAUCCAAAAACUAUUAGUUCUCUUUUAAUUUUGUUUCAAUCCUUGUUAGCCUGUCCGCCUAUUUCUUUAUGUUAAAUGGUUAUUUGUUUUGUUAAUAAUUCGAAUUCAUUUUUGACCUCUUCUGUUAGAUAAUAAUUUAGGAUAUUAGGUUUCAACGAUAAUUUUUGUUUAUUUAGUAAUUGUUCGAAUGAUUGAUCCUGGUUAGCUUAGUGUAUAUUUAGCUUCUUGUUGUUUGUUGUUAGUUUGAUUUAUUGAAUAGUUUUGAUUAACUAUUAGAACUAGGGUUAUAUUUUGUAGUUUGUUAAUUCAAACAUUAGAAAUCUGAUUGGUUCUAGCUGUGACUUCAGUUUAAUUCUAGGUGUAUUUGGGUAUUUAAGGCUAGGUAGAAUGGUUGUAUGUUGUACUAGAAUGUCCUAGAAGCUUCUAGAGAGGGGUUUUAAGAUAUAAAUCAGUAAAUGAGGGUGACUUCUUUCCCCGGAGCAUCAAGAAUUUGAUGCUUGCCCCUUGUUGCCUAUAAAAGGCAUCAAAAUGCCUUGAUGAUGGGGAAAGAAAAAGCCAAAAUAAAAAUCUAAAAAGCUCCGUAUCUCUCCCUCUCUAGUCUCCAGAUAUAGAUUCGAAAUUCUCCAACUAAAAACCAAUAAAUAAAAUAAAAUAAAAUAAAAAGGAAUAGUAAACAAAACCAAAAAAAAGCUCGGAAGUUACUGUUACAUUGCUUGUUGAAAUCACUUUCAAUUUUUUUCUCUGUUUUGUUCCAUUAGAAUUAGGUAAAUGGUUGUAAUUCUUCUUUUCAUAUUCAUUAUUUGAAGAUUGGAAUUAUUUGGAGUUUAUGCGUUGUUUGGGAUCAUUCAAAUUGGUUUUUGGUACUAUCACUCGUUUGCUGAGUUACUUCUAGUUGUUUGGGUUUUCAUUGUGGUUAAAAUCCACUGAUUUUGCUUAGGUUUCAAAUUUUUGGUUGUUGUCUAGCUGCUGCCUUGCUAUUUGCUACUGAUUCUCCUUCUUUUUUCAUUUUGGAAUAACUCCAGGUACACAUUCGAAUCCUAAUGUAAUGGUAAGAUUGAAAAUGAAUUGCACAUUUAUUUGAUCCUAAGAACUGCUGCUUGACUAGAGUUAAAUAGAUGUUAGAAUUGUUAAGCAUAGUUAAGUGGGAAUUUAUUGUUUGUGAACUUGAAUUUUAUUUAUUAUCCAUGGGCUGUUAUGCUAAGUAAUGUAGACUGGUUGAACUUUAAUUUGUAAUGGUUGUAUUAAUAAACUAUUAAGUGUAGAGGCAUUCGUGUAGUGUUGUGUUGAUGAACUAAUUGAGCUAUUAGAGUAACAAUCAGCACGCCAUAGGAGUAUAGUUUCGUAUAUUUUUAAUGUAGUUUUGUAAGCAGAAUUGGAAGUUACCUAUGAUUCUCGUUUCAAGUGUGUUAUAGUUUGGGUUGUUUUGUGUAAUGUGAUAACGGGAACAAGAAAUCAAUUCCUAGACCUAUGACCUUAUUUUCUUUAACAACAGAUUGAACGGGGAGGCAGUAGGUAAUCUAGCCUCAAAUUGGUUUAUAAGACUUGUUAAAUGGUAUGAUUGUUGAGUGGUUCAAUUAUGUUUAAAUCCACAUAUUUACCUUGGAGCUGAAUCGGACUUGACCUAUGGUUCAUUAUUAGUAAUUACCACCAUUUUGUCUUAAAAAAUUUAGUUAGUCUUCUAGUGGUAGUUUCCGUUCAGUCGAUAUCACAAUUGGUUUGAGAUACGUAAUCAAUGUCUUUAAUGUUUGUUUCAUCAUUAAUGUUGCUUGACGAUUGUUGCACGUUAAUUAGGCUUGAAAGUUUGGGCCCUGCUGAUCAGUUGAAAGUCCCAGACCAUGGCUUUUUCCAUUUAAUUGACGAGAGGCUCAGGCUUUGUUGCCUGAGAUUUGGGCCCAGAAACCGUAUCAAUAGCCCAAAACAUGUAAGAAGGCAACUAUGGUCAUUCGUCGCCUAGGCCAAUUUCAAAGGCCUAGGAUAACUGGAAUUACGGGUCCAAUGAAGGACUCAGAAUUUGAUUGUAGUAGUUCAUAAAUAAUGGUUAUUAACUAAAUAUUUUUUGUUUGUUUUUUUUUCUCUUGUUUUUUAUUAGAGACAAAAAAAUAUAGAAAAUUAUAGCCACUUUAGGAUUGACCUUUAAAAUAAAUAAAACGUGCC